rnacentral:rRNA from 1 species
GAUGAACGCUGGCGGCGUGCCUAAUACAUGCAAGUCGAGCGGUAAGGCCCUUCGGGGUACACGAGCGGCGGACGGCUGAGUAACACGUAGGAACGUACCCCAAAGUGAGGGAUAACUGCUCGAAAGAGUAGCUAAUACCGCAUGUGGUCUAAGGAUUAAAGCUUUAUGCGCUUUGGGAACGGCCUGCGUCCGAUUAGCUAGUUGGUAGUGUAAUGGACUACCAAGGCUUCGAUCGGUAGCUGGUCUGAGAGGAUGAUCAGCCAGACUGGGACUGAGACACGGCCCAGACUCCUACGGGAGGCAGCUGUAGGGAAUUUUCCACAAUGGGCGAAAGCCUGAUGGAGCAACGCCGCGUGCAGGAUGAAUGCCUUCGGGUUGUAAACUGCUUUUAUCUGUGACGAUUGUGACGGUAACAGAUGAAUAAGGAUCGGCUAACUCCGUGCCAGCAGCCGCCGCUG